rnacentral:rRNA from 1 species
AUUAUGGCUCAGGAUGAACGCUAGCGGCAGGCUUAACACAUGCAAGUCGAGGGGCAGCAUAAUGGAUAGCAAUAUCUAUGGUGGCGACCGGCGCACGGGUGCGUAACGCGUAUGCAACCUACCUUUAACAGGGGGAUAACACUGAGAAAUUGGUACUAAUACCCCAUAAUAUCAUAGAAGGCAUCUUUUAUGGUUGAAAAUUCCGAUGGUUAGAGAUGGGCAUGCGUUGUAUUAG